AUUAAUUUAACUUCUAAAUAUCUACUCAUCAUUAUCCAGCUUCCUCAUUAAGCAACACUAUUAUCUUCCUCUAGAAGCUAAACAUUGUUCUCACCCACCCUUACCGUCUUCUUUGAAAUUUCACAUCUUUUUUUCACCUUCAACUCCCUAACUAAUUUCAAUCAAGAUUCAAGGUAAGUGCGAUUUAUAUUUAUUCAUCUUAUUAGUCAAUUUCAAGAAAUACCUUCAUACACUUAUGCCAUGCAGCAUUUCUGCAGAAUUUUUAUAACAAUUUUGCUUCCUCAAGGUCUACUCCAAAAUUGAACCACCAAACACAAAGCAAACUACUUAUGAUUCUUUAUAUGUUUAUAUGAUUCUGGAAUUUACACAUGUGGUGUUUAUUGUAAGAAAUACACAGAUAGACAAUUACAAAUCUUGAUGAAUAUAAACUCUUAUAUGAAAUCCUACAACUGUUGUCGUUUUGAAUCGUGGCUGAGCCCCUAUGUAGAUGUAUGUGUGAGUGUCGAGAUCGGGGAGGCGGCAGCCCGAUGACUCGUCGUCGGUAGGCGGCUGAGGCAUGAUGGCGGCGGAGCCGCCACUGUUUCUGUUCGGCCGAAAGGGGAGAAAGGGAAGGGGAUAGAAGAUUUCAGUUUUUCGUUGAAUAAAAGAUAUUAUUAGGGCUUCAAUUUAAUUAAUUAUCUUCAUGAAAUUAAUUCGUGGUUAAAUAUUAUCUUCAUGAAAUUAAUUUAUGUCUAAUCCUCUUUCUUUCCGGCUUCUUAAUUCUCACUCUGAGUCAUAAAUCCCGGUUAAUCCAUCCUUAUGGAUAGUGGGCUGUGACAAUUAUAAUUCAUAGUAUUAUAAUAAAUUUUAUUUUUAUAAAAAAUAUUCUUAAAAUAAUAUAUAUAAGCAUGAGAUACAGUGACACAUUAUUGUAAUUACAUCAUUGUAAUUUUCAUCAUCAAUAUUAAUAUUAUAGUGUUUGUACGUAUACGAAAUAUUUAUAGAAAUUAAUGCAAGAGUUCAACGACAACGAGUACGUACAACACAUUCACAAGUUCUCAAAACAACAAUAUUAAUAUGCAAGCGCAGGCCAGAAAGCUUUUACAUAGUUGGAAACAGAAAGUGCAUUAAUUAAGGAUAAACAGAAACUGGAAAUCAGUGGAGCUAGAGACCAAAAUCCGAGACCGACAUUUGUUGAAGUAGCUUAGCAGAAGAGUUCUGUAAGAACAUUCUCGCUCAGAAGAGAAAUCUUCAAUAACUUUAUAGCCUAACCAAAAAAGAAGACCAUCGUCAAAUCAGGUGCUACUAUAAUCCAAAUAAAAGUAUAUAUUAGUACUAAGACAAGAAAGAAAAUAAAUGAGUUAAACAAGAAGAGAUGAUACCUCCUUCAUUCCCAAAUGGACAACUUCUUCCUUCAAAGCACCGAUAUAAUUAACAUUAUUGAGCAGCGCAAUGCCGGAGAUAGUAGACAUGGGUUUGAUCUCCAAAUCAUCCAUCACCAU
rnacentral:lncRNA from 1 species